AGGCAGCCCCGAAGCCGCGCCUGGGGAUCCCGGGCACCCGAGGAAAUCCCACUCCUGCAGGCCGGCGUGAGCUCGCUCCACGGCCGCCGAGGGAAGCCGGGAUGCCCCGAGGCCCCCUUCCCUGCGCAGGCCGGGAGGCGGGGCCUAGCGGAGGGUGCGGCCGCCCGCAGCGCCCUGGGCGGCUCGCGGUUCCCCGGGAUGCGUCGCUCCCAACCAGUGGGAGCCGCCGCCUGGAGUGGUGCCUCUGUCCCCGGGAAAGCAGAGAGCUUGGCCUACGCCAAGUUAGACUUCUCCAGCCCAGUGCUCGGCUUCCUCUCCUAGAGGUUCGUGGGAUGCCUGGGACUCGGUUUCCCGGCUCCUAGAGACACGCUAGGCUGGCCGCUCCCCGGAGAUGGGCCUGGACGACCCAAGUGACCUCGGCUGUAGCCAGGGAAGCAAAAGGUCGGGAUGUGUUUGCUCCUCUUAUGAAAAGGCAGGGGACACUGCAAAAGAUGAGCAUGGCGCUAGGGAUGAACCAGGACCCUAGUUUACACUGGUUUCUUAGCUACUGCACCCGAAUUACUGGGAAAGCAGCUAAUUCAUAGCAAUUUCUUUUAAAAAAUCAACUCGGACAGCAAACAGAAGGCAAUAAAUGAACCUAUACUCUUUAGCUCC
rnacentral:lncRNA from 1 species